CGGGCGAGGCGCCGGUCUAAGUCCCUUGGAACGGGGCGUCGUAGAGGGUGAGAAUCCCGUAUGUGACCGGCGGCCGAGCCUAUGUGAAACCCCUUCGACGAGUCGAGUUGUUUGGGAAUGCAGCUCAAAAUGGGUGGUAAAUUUCAUCUAAAGCUAAAUACCGGCCAGAGACCGAUAGCGCACAAGUAGAGUGAUCGAAAGAUGAAAAGCACUUUGGAAAGAGAGUCAAAAAGUACGUGAAAUUGUUGAAAGGGAAGCGCUUGCAACCAGACCUGCCCGCGGGUGAUCAGCCGUCCUUCUGGGCGGUGCACUCGCCCGCGAACAGGCCAGCAUCGGUUCGGGCGGUCGGAUAAAGGCCUUGGGAACGUAGCUCCCCUCGGGGAGUGUUAUAGCCCUCGGUGCAAUGCGGCCUGCCCGGACCGAGGACCGCGCUUCGGCUAGGAUGCUGGCGUAAUGGUUGUAAGCGGCCCGUCUUGAAACACGGACCAAGGAGUCGACCCACUAUGCGAGUGUUUGGGCGUCAAACCCACACGCGCAAUGAAAGUGAACGGAGGUGGGAACCCCUCGCGGGGCGCACCAUCGACCGAUCCAGAUGUCUUCGGAUGGAUUUGAGUACGAGCAUAGCUGGUCGGACCCGAAAGAUGGUGAACUAUGCCUGAAUAGGGUGAAGCCAGAGGAAACUCUGGUGGAGGCUCGCAGCGGUUCUGACGUGCAAAUCGAUCGUCAAAUUUGGGCAUAGGGGCGAAAGACUAAUCGAACCAUC
rnacentral:rRNA from 1 species